CCUCCGCCCGGCUCCCUUCUGCUCCUGGCCUAGCAACCGCCAAGCGUCUCCUCCAUAGCAACAUCCGGGUCGCCCAACAGCGCUGGGCUCCUUGUGAGUCCCGCCCGAAGGAAAAAGCCUCUUCUCAGAACCUAAAACAAAGCUGAGGUGGUGGCGUGAGACUGUAAUCCAGCACUUGCAAGGCCAAAGCAGUAGGAUUGCCCUGAGUCUAGCCUGGACUAUAUAAUGAGUCUGACCUAUCGACUCUCCAAGCGCUAUUUGCGGAGCCUGACAGCCAGCCUGGGUUCUACCAGCAGAUGAAGAACCUGAUGACGGAGGGAAGCAUGCUGGCAGGAGGCCCACACAGCUCCUUGAAGAAGACAGCCCGGCCAGGGCCAAGACUGGGAGCCAGAGGCAGUGGAACCGCCAAAUGCCUCCCAUUUUAUGGACAGGCCUGGCUCAACCUGAAGACAUUCCAAAUACUCAGUCAACAGCCAUGGUCCAUAUGAGGUCGGAAAGGGAACCCUUAGAAGCCAUCCUUUGAAGACACAAAACUCAGCUGGAGGAAGCAGCUGGCCCUGUCCAUAGACCAGGCUCACCAGCUGGGGAAAGUGCACCAUGCCAUCAAUAAUCAAUAAUCAGAGGCUGGCAGCUGCUGGGAGUUUGCCCCUGCCCUCUUUCCCACAUGAGUAGGCGCAGUCAGGAAUCCAUCUCACCCACCUCCCUGCACCGAGCCCCGGGGAGGGCAGGCGAGGGAGGAACCAUUUUUCACAUACUUUCUCUUUCAAAAUGCAGCCCUGUUUCGCAAUUUCCUACUCAAGUUCUGGAAGGCUCUAGGGCAUUGACCCAAGCUACCUUCUCCAGCCACUGGCCAGGCACCAACCUGGUAGGCAAUGCCCGCUGGAGGUAGGAAGGGGCUCACCAUGCUAGUCCUCCCGCACCCCACCAAUGAGAAUCCAUUCCAGUCAGAGCAGGUCACUGACUCCACUGUGGGGGGUUCCACCCCGCACCUUGCCAGGUGUUUAUUCUUCACUCUGCUGGUUCUUUCUCUGGAAGAGCAUGGAGGUAGGCCGCACCAAAGCAGGUGCACCCAACCCUGGUAUGCUUGCGUCUUAGCAUCCCCCAAGGUGAUCAAUCUCCAGAUCGCCUCCUUCUCCUAUAAUAAGGCUUUUGUUCUUGAGAACUUCCACCUGUGGUACUGACCAGCCUCCCUUUCCAGUGAGCCCACUCAGUCCUGCCAGAUAGAACCUGUUCUCGCAGCCUGUUUCCCCUUCCCCACCACAGUGAGGGUUUCCACCAGCUACCCAGUGAAUGCAGAGCAGACCCUUAGCUGGAGGGAUCUGAGGCUGAAAGCCGGCACGGGGGGCCUGGCCCUGAGUCAGGGACAUGGAGCAGGGCCUUAGAGCUGGCCCUGACCCCGAGCUCUCACCCAGUCCUCUUAGACCAAAUCAAACAAAUCAGAGAAGAAGGGGAAAUCCCUACUUUAAAAAAUCCAGAAAAUAUACAACUUCAUCACCCCAAACAAUUGGAUGGGAAACACACCAGAGCUGGAGGUGGGAAAGAUGACCAGAAUGUGCUGGUCUGUUAAGUGCGUGACCCCAUAGGGCAGAGAGCUAACAUUUUCCAACCCACGUGGGCGAAUGACCACAUAGAACUAUGUGUUUUCAUUAUGUAAACCUGGGGCAGGGAAAGGCAUCUCGACACAGAUAGAUGGUCCCUUCAGCACCCAUCAGCCUCCAAAGCACCAAGGACCAUUUCGGGACCACCCAUGGCUCUUGGUAGCCCUAGGGUUUCAGUCUCAGGUGGGUGUUUUAGGGCUGCGAGCAGAUAACCGGUCGUCACUUUUAAACCGACUUCACCAUGCAGUUCAGAAACAGACAAGAGCAGGCCCAGGGUUCACUGCAUUCACAUCAUGCUAGGGUUGAAUCUAGAAGUUCACGAGGUAUCAGAAUGAGAAUGUCCCCUGACCAGUUGUGGGAGCUGAGGCUUGAGUUAUGCAUCUAUGUACUCAGGACUUCUGGGGAGCCACAGACUCCUUCCCUGAGCCGUUCAGACUCCAGGAGCAGCUUCUGGGAGUGUGAGGGGAUGGGUGAGGUGAUAAAAAGAAGCCGAGCCCCUCCCCAGGGCAUCGUCAGGGUGACACAGGCAACAGGAGACACAGCCCCCCUUAUUCUGGGACUUGUUUGGAUGUAGUUUUAGAAGAAAGCUAACGGCCAGGCAGUGGUGGCGCAUGCUUUAAAUCCCAGCAUUCAGGAGGCAGAAGUAGGCAGAUCUCUGUGAGU